UACGUAGGGAGCAAGCGUUGUCCGGAUUUACUGGGCGUAAAGCGCGCGUAGGCGGAAGCUUAAGUGUGGCCUGAAAGCCCCCGGCUCAACCGGGGAGGGUGGCUGCAAACUGGGCUUCUUGAGGGGGAUAGAGGAAGGUGGAAUUCCGGGUGUAGCGGUGAAAUGCGUAGAGAUCCGGAGGAACACCGGUGGCGAAGGCGGGUCUCUGGGCAAUUCCUGACGCUGAGGCGCGAAAGCGUGGGGAGCAAACGGG
rnacentral:rRNA from 1 species